rnacentral:rRNA from 1 species
AUGAACGCUAGCUACAGGCUUAACACAUGCAAGUCGAGGGGCAGCAUGAACUUAGCUUGCUAAGUUUGAUGGCGACCGGCGCACGGGUGAGUAACACGUAUCCAACCUGCCGAUGACUCGGGGAUAGCCUUUCGAAAGAAAGAUUAAUACCCGAUGGCAUAGUUCUUCCGCAUGGUAGAACUAUUAAAGAAUUUCGGUCAUCGAUGGGGAUGCGUUCCAUUAGGUUGUUGGCGGGGUAACGGCCCACCAAGCCUUCGAUGGAUAGGGGUUCUGAGAGGAAGGUCCCCCACAUUGGAACUGAGACACGGUCCAAACUCCUACGGGAGGCAGCAGUGAGGAAUAUUGGUCAAUGGACGAGAGUCUGAACCAGCCAAGUAGCGUGAAGGAUGACUGCCCUAUGGGUUGUAAACUUCUUUUAUACGGGAAUAAAGUGAGGCACGUGUGCCUUUUUGUAUGUACCGUAUGAAUAAGGAUCGGCUAACUCCGUGCCAGCAGCCGCGGUAAUACGGAGGAUCCGAGCGUUAUCCGGAUUUAUUGGGUUUAAAGGGAGCGUAGGCGGACGCUUAAGUCAGUUGUGAAAGUUUGCGGCUCAACCGUAAAAUUGCAGUUGAUACUGGGUGUCUUGAGUACAGUAGAGGCAGGCGGAAUUCGUGGUGUAGCGGUGAAAUGCUUAGAUAUCACGAAGAACUCCGAUUGCGAAGGCAGCUUGCUGGACUGUAACUGACGCUGAUGCUCGAAAGUGUGGGUAUCAAACAGGAUUAGAUACCCUGGUAGUCCACACAGUAAACGAUGAAUACUCGCUGUUUGCGAUAUACAGUAAGCGGCCAAGCGAAAGCGUUAAGUAUUCCACCUGGGGAGCACGCCGGCAACGGUGAAACUCAAAGGAAUUGACGGGGGCCCGCACAAGCAGUGGAGUAUGUGGUUUAAUUCGAAGCAACGCGAAGAACCUUACCAGGUCUUGACAUCCUACUAACGAGAUAGAGAUAUGUUAGGUGCCCUUCGGGGAAAGUAGAGACAGGUGGUGCAUGGUUGUCGUCAGCUCGUGUCGUGAGAUGUUGGGUUAAGUCCCGCAACGAGCGCAACCCUUAUGGUCAGUUACUACGCAAGAGGACUCUGGCCAGACUGCCGUUGACAAAACGGAGGAAGGUGGGGAUGACGUCAAAUCAGCACGGCCCUUACGUCCGGGGCUACACACGUGUUACAAUGGGGGGUACAGAAGGCAGCUACACGGCGACGUGAUGCUAAUCCCUAAAGCCUCUCUCAGUUCGGAUUGGAGUCUGCAACCCGACUCCAUGAAGCUGGAUUCGCUAGUAAUCGCGCAUCAGCCACGGCGCGGUGAAUACGUUCCCGGGCCUUGUACACACCGCCCGUCAAGCCAUGAAAGCCGGGGGUACCUGAAGUGCGUAACCGCAAGGAGCGCCCUAGGGUAAAACUGGUGAUUGGGGCU